CAGAGUUACAUAAACUGCCCCACCGACAGACUAACAGGCUGCUACCUCCAAAAAAAAUGCAGAAGCAAUGAAGUUUUUCCAACUGGCUCCAAGGUUUAUAGAACUCUACCAUCUAUGUGAACAAAUUAAUCUCUGGAGCUUCCAAGAUGCAAAGAAAUAUUUGACAGCUGGGAACCAAAGAGAUUAAGGAAGAGAUUUUGCUUCCUAAAACUAGAGCCUUCUGCUAAUCCUCCAGGCAUGCCUCGCAAGCUCUGCUGCUUCCACGGUCCAACUCUUCCUGCUUUGCAGCAGCUCUAUCAACAGUAAUAAUGAAAACAAAUGCGUUCUUCCCUCUACUCAGUGGCCCGUCAGCAGAAGCCAGUGAGAUCUCCCGGGAAGCCAGCUGGCAGGACAGCUGCAGGUUCUGCUACCUUAGUUAGAGAGAUCAGGCACCCAGUUGUGGGACAGGGCAUCGACCUGCCCUUUCCAGCCCUGAAGGCGUCCUCAUCCUCCUUGGCUACUGGGCUUAUCCCUGCACAACACAAACCAGCUGAUGGACCUGGGAACUGCCGUGUUCCUGACUCUCUUUUGUCCUGUGAAGAUACAAAGGAGUUAACCUUUGCAGGAGGCAAAGAUUAUUGCUUCUAGGUUGCUCUGUCAGUGAAGCAAUGCAGCAUUUAUAGUUCCUGGCUGUAGUUAGACCUCUGAAAGAUACAGCUGCUACUCAAAGAUCACAGGUAGCGCUCAUCCAUCACCUGGAGACACAGUAAAGGGAGACAGGCCAAUCUGUAGUAAGCAAGUUUAUUUCAUCUCUCCUGACAUCUAUAGAUUAGGCAGCUGCCAAGAAGAUACAAUAAGGUGCUUCACCAGGAGUUACUUUCUGAACUCAUCAGGAGUGGCUGAGGAGAUGAGCACACACUGAGAAGCUGUUGCUGGUCCCUGUCCCAGUGGUCGCAUCCUCACUGACGGAGGAGAAACGCUGAACCUUUACCAUGUGUCAGACCUGGGUUAAUACACCCGGAUUUCUGGCUCAGUAGCAAUAAACAGAGCACAUGGGACAAAACUCUGUUUUCAGUAACGUGGAGAGCAUGGAGGGUUGUCUGAAACACCAACUAUUGCCUCUGUCAAUAAAAAAAAACCAACUGAUUUUUGCUCUGACCUACUACAGCGAGUAGAUCCUGGGAAGAGCAAUGUACCACCGAGUUUUGAUAGUAUUUGGCUAUUGGAAAGGAGCAGAUUAUGAGGAGUAUUUAAAAACCUCUGUUGGUGGGAGCUCUCAGGCCGCCCUGGCAGACCCACAAAAACCAGGUCACCCACCUGCUCCCACCUUUGGGUGAGCAGCCUUCCUAGUUUGGGGGAAGAAGUUCAGGGGUUUCCCUCAACAAUAGUAUUUCCGUGGCCUCGAAGUGCUGAUUAGGCUGUGCUGUCCACGUAGGGCACAGAAGGGAAGGAGAUGGGAAAACCCCACAACCUGCUCCUCCAGAGGCACCGUGUAAAAUAUCCCCCUGGGAUUUCCCCCCACUAGGGAGCUGACCCGCUCUGCUUAGCCUGGCCCUGAGGAUCUCCUAAGCCUCCUUUUGCAUUUGAACCAUAUCAAGAGGCCAGGAAAAGAUUUGGACAUGGUGGUCAUCUUAAGGUGCAAUUUCUCCUGGGAUGCCUUGACAGAACAUCUCAGGAAAGAUGGAAAAGAGAGCGCAUCGCCAGGCAGCAUCCCAGUGGCUCACAGACAGAAUGCUAUCCACUGCUCGAGGGGGCACAAAUCCAUUUCUUCCGUUUUUUUAUUAUUUUUUUUAUCUGGCCCUGAGGGAAGAAAGGAGAAAAAAAGGACAGUUUCCCACGUGUCUCCAUCACUCCAGCAAACCAGUCUGUCUAGGUCCACGGUGACUUCACUCACGAUUUCAGGCUCAGAGCCAGAUGUUUCUAUCCAGACCAUCCAUAAGUUUUGGACGGGAAGCCACAGUGGACAAGGCAGUUUGUAGCUGUUGAAGGCUUCAUCAUAAGGUGUCAGUGUUAAGCCUUCUGCUACCUCAUCCCCUGCCAGAAAAAUAAUUUCCUUGGUGCCUGAUUACCGGAUUGGCAAAACCGCAGGGGCAGUUCAGGGACGGCAGCAGCCCGUGCAGGCCAGCGCCUUUACAGAGCCUUUCCAUCCUGCACUGAGCUGAGCUCCAUCAAAAUUAAUUGGGUCUGAGGGGUCAAGUUUUGUAAACACGUUUAGGUACAGUUAGAUAUCCAGUUCCAGGAGCUGCCUGUGAAAAACUCACCUAAGGCUUCUCUGAAUCCUUAGGUACUGAAAUACUUUUAAAUACUCAUUCCAAAAUCCUGAAUCCUGCAGUCAGACAGAACACUUGAGCUGUCAUUUGCAAAUCCUGUUUUUCCCUAAUAAUGGGAUUACUGGAGGAGUUUGGCAGUAGCUUUGGGAAGAGUCGGUCUUUCCUAUCUGUACUUUCAUCUUUUAAAUUGGGAGCGGGAUCUACAGAAAAAUCCAUCUUAUUGAAACAAACAAAGCCGAUUUGUGAGAAGAAACUGAAUCAAUUUCCAUUACCACCCUGUACACAAACCGAACAUGACAAAGGGAUUCACACAGCUCAGUCACAUUCAAGUGACAUUGAGUAGUUUGCUGCUCUGUGGCUUGCAUGCCAUUUCAAAGGCUGUAUUUGCUCCCCUAUGGUUUAAUAGCAAUUUUAGGUAACCUUGUUCCUUGUGUGGUGGCUUUACAUCUAAAAUGUUUGCAAUGCCUGCUGGCAGCAUCACCUGAGAGAUGGCUGGAAACGUUGCUUAAUUCUGGUAGGACACAUGGUGGCAUUGAGCAGCAGCAGAGGUCACCAGGAAAAAGGAAUUGGAGCGAGGUUUUCAGGGUUUUGCAGGAGAUGCGGCCAGGCUGCCUUUCUUGAGGGCUGCUGGAGGAUUAGGCUGAUGUUACAGAUACAGGGAUCAGCUCCCUGAGGAGCUGCUCAGGAACGUAGGAUGUCCUUUGCCAGACAGAGGCGGAGCUGUCUGGGAAUGAGAGAGGAAUUAACACCAGGAAAGCUGUGAGGGUUUCCCCAGGUCGAAAGACAGGUUCCCAAGGAAACUCCAGCACGUGCCCGUGUGACAAAUCUGCUGGGACAUACGUGGCAUCCGCGGUCUGAUGUCUUCACUGCAAGCCUGGAACACACGGGCAGCAAUUGCUCGCGCUGCCCCGGCACAGCAGGAGCGGAGAUUAGCGGGCAUUUCCCAAAGCUGUUUUUCUGGCAAGCCCGAUUCCCCAGCCCCUUCUGCGAGAAAGCUUCACAGAUUAAGGAGGCAGUGUGCCUCCCUCAUCGGUGCCAGAAGGAUUCACGUGAGGCAGAAACAAGCAAACUGCCUUGCCAAAGAGGGAGGAGAAAGCAUGGAAAUUAUUUUCAAUCUGUGUCUUUGCAAGUGCAGGGAAAGGCUCCCACUGCUCCGCAUCCGUGGAGUUGCUCACUGCCAGACUCAGGCCAGCUUCUGAAACUCUGCUGGUUAGCAUGCUGAGCUAAAAAACAUGUUAAGCAUCUUGUAGAACUCUUCUCUGAAAGAAAAAGAAAUGUUUUGCUUUCUCCUGUCAAAUUGUAACCCUGUCUUGAGAGAGAAAUGAAUGUGUUUUGGCACACGAAGAGGUCAGGCUGCGUUUUGGUGGCACUGUUCACACUUUGUCCCUGAAACAGACUGAGCAUUUGGAAGAGCAACACAAUUUAUUACUGAACGCGAGGAUGUGAAGAACAUUUGGGUUUAACCUCUCCACCAACAGACGUUUUAAAAUACUCCUGGCAAGCUGUUCCUUUCCGAUAGCCAAAUACUGUCAGAAUUCGGUGGUAUACUACAGGACCUACUCGCUGUAGUAGGUCAGAGCAAAGAUCAGGUCAAGUGGUCCCUGGACAAGGGGCAAUAGCUGGUGUUUCAGAUAACCUUCCAUGCUAAAAACAGAGGAUUUUGUCCUUACAUGGAUGCAGGGGUGGCUGGAGCCUGGUGGGAGCCCUGCUCAGCAUCCUGCCCUGCUCAGCGUGGGAGCACUCACACCGUGUCCCACGAAGGUGAUACAGGCACCACCAUGCCUUUGGCUUUGCUCAGUUGAGCUGGUGCCUGAAAGAAAAAUAAAUGGAGUGAUAGGAGAAAGAGUGCAGAAGUCUUCUGCUCUCUUUUCCCUCGUUUAUUAUCACCUCCCUUUAACACCCCCAAGCUGUCCUCAGGAAACCUGUCCUGUCCUCCACCACCCUGCACAGCUUGGCGAGCAAACAGGGCACCAGUUCAAACUCCAAAAGUAGCUGAAAGCCAGCAACACGUGGGCUUGCUAAUUAUUUAGAGCUUAAAUAAAAGUUUGGCCUCUUCAGGCAGCGCUGAGGGCAAGGUGGAUGCCUGCUCACCCUCUCCUCCUCCUCUGAGGUUUUUAGGUGCAGACCAUGGCAUGUAUUUCUAGUGUUGCUGGGCUAUAAAAAGAAGGGUGUGCAUCACCCCAUGGCUCCCUAGGGGUCAAGGGAUCAGAUUGGACAUGGCGCCCAAGACAGGCUUAUGCAGCCAGACAUCACCGCUGCUUCACCACCGCCAGGACCCCACAGCACCGAAGAGGGUGAAAUACCUGCUGUUUGCAGGUGGGUAGGAGGCAUCUCCAGGCUGCUUCAGCAUGUGAGUGGCAACAAUCCAAUACUCUCCGUGAGCCAGGCAAUGUUGCCGGUUUCUGCCAUCGUCGUGCCUUUAGGACCUCACCCAAGCCUGCUUCAGAGGCAGAGGGACUAGAGGUCACUGGGCAUUUCUGUGUCCAGUAUGGUCUCUGGGGGCAGGGACCCCAAAGCACAGGUAGCUCAGGGAGUGCAUUACAUGAGCUGUGUCUCUAUUAAAUGCAGUUUCGUGUGUUUUGGGACCACCUAGGGCUCUGUUACGCAUCCCACUGCUAUCCUGGCCUGGAUCUUCAAAGCCCUCUUCCAGAAGGCACAAUAAAUUUCAGCUAAAGGUGUGGAAACAAGCCUCUUGCACCAUAUUUCUUUGAGGUAUUUCAGAGAUACUCGAAAAUGGAGCUGGGAUUUAAUCUGAAAAAGGUAAAAGUAUGAAUGUACAGGUCACCCUUGUAGAGCUCAGCAGGUGGGACUUCAGCACGUUACUUUCCCUGUAGCAAGCUGAGUUGUCUUUUAUCCUUCUCCUCUGCAGAGGAGAUGCUGCCCCCCCCCCCCCUCCUUCCAGCCUAUCCUUCUCAGUAAUGCACUGUAACCCAUGACCCCUCGGAUAAAAGAUGAGAAUACUAAUUGCUUGGAAACACUCCACGGAAAGUGGACGCUAAGUGGACUAAUGCUGAACAGCAAUGGAAAUUACAACGUGGACAUCAUCAGAAUCCAUCACAACUAAUGAGAUUAGAGUGGCUACCACAAGAAUUCGUAAUGAUCUACUCUGGGCCCCAAAACUUUUGUCAGUGCACCUGAGCCAUGCUUUGCUCUUCUCCUGCCCUCUACUUGCACACUUUGAAGAGUACAGACAAGGGAGGACCCCAGAGGCCUUUCAUCCUGCUCUGUACCUCACUUAAACAACCCUUGUUUCUGAUUGUAUGUAGACACAACAGCAAUGGCAAUGACUUCAUAGCACCCCCCCCACCCCCCGCAAUGAAUAAAUCAUCCUAAUCUCAAGGCAAAGUUAGCACAACCAUCCACUGUGUCAUUUCCAUGAAUCACAGUGAUAAAGGGCCAUGCUUGUUGAGACAUUGCUUAUGCAAAUGCAAUACAGCACUAAUGAAUGUAAGCAAAGUCCUACAGUGCCAGGACAAGGCAAGCUUGUGCCAAAACUCCUAGGAAGCAGCUGUUGCUUUGUUCAAAGGAAUAAGUGAUGAGCUGGGGCAGAGAGGCUCUCAGGAGCCUGGGACUGCACUAUUCAGUUAUUUCAGAUCCAGGAUUAUGGUCCUUAUCGUUUAGGGACAUACUUUCCUGACAAAUAUUUCUGAUUUAUAAGCAGCGAAGCCUCUCUCUGAGUUCCUGGAAAUUGCGAUAGGGGAAGGGGGUAUUCUGAACCAGGGUGAUCCAGAGUUCAGUUCCUUUGCCAUGAGAUAGCAGUGUAAGGGGAACGCAGCGUAAGGUGCUGGAAAGCACCCACAGGGCUUUGGAUUUCCUUCAUUAUUCUCCAAGGAUUAAUGCAAUUUUAACACCUCACAGAGCAGGGCUUUGCUGUGGAAGUAUCUCUGAUUUCCAGCAGAUCUCACCGUUAUUGUCCUGUGCUGGUAAUUUGGUACCUUGAUGUUAUUGUUCGUAUUCUCUAGAAACCCAUAAAGGAGGUGGUGAGCCAAGCAAGGGUUCGUCCUGCGGUGCUGGAUGAUUUAUGGGCAAAGGGUAAGAAAAGGCCCUGCCACAAACAGCCAGAAGGGCCAGAUAGCUGCGUGAGAGAUAGGAGAGCAGAGGAAGGCGGAACGAUUUCCUCAAGGUCACACAAGUCACAGCACAAGGCCGGGAAUAGGCUCCAUGACUGACAGGGAAGCACAGUGCAUCGUCCUGCUGAUGCAGGAGUCUCUGAUAACCCUGACUAACACACCACAUGAAGAAAUUAUUUCAUGCUCUGGAAUUCUCUGGCACCAAGUAUCAGCCAAAAAAGGUCUAACACAAUGAAUGUAACUCAAUAUACGGCACCAAAGGUUUUCUGUUACCAAUAGGUGCCAAGCACAAUUGAUUUUCAUUUACAGUUUCUUCCUUUGUUAGAUGAUGUCAUGGAUUAUUUAUGUCUGAAAGCAUUAAAAGGUACAAAGCACUUGAUGAGUCAUUGGGAAAAACAGCCUGGUGCAAGAAGAAAGGACCAUAAAUUCCCUAGCCUCGGUGUCUCCAAGCAGUUGCAUUGCUCUCAUACAGUGAAUGCAAGGAGAGCAGCUCUCCCACCAUGCCCAAGUCAUGCAACCGAGCGGCUGGUACUUCCCUGCCUGGUAUUUGGGUUUCAAAGCUGACCAGUGCCACUCACGGCUCCACAAACCAGCCCCCGAACGCACCUCGGGCCGCUGCUGUUCCACUGUGCCCCAGUGGGCCAAGGCUGUGCUGGUCAGCCUGCCACUGAGCCGGGGACGGGCGUAAUUUUCUAAUUAAAACACUACUGGAGUGUUGGACCUACUAAGGUCUGCACAUGCUGGUACCCCAAAACAAAGUUCUGGAUUGCAUGAGGUAGAUGCAAUCCCCCUCUGCAGCCGCAAAACAAAGCCAAACCAUGUCUCAGGCGCACGGAUAAAGGGCUUUUGAAUGGAGAAGGAUGAAUCACAUGCCAUUUCACAAUUAGCACUUUAAUUCUGAACAUUAAUUAGGGCACUAGUGUUUGGAGAGUUUAGUUCUCAUCGACCCACUUACAUUGUUCAGAGGAGGCCUAAAGAGAUACUGGGGUCUGCAAAGAAACCCACAGGAAAAAUGACAAGUCGGUACCAGCUGCAGCCCAUGAGCUGGUGAUAUGGGAAAUGCUUCACAUAAAAAAAGACCUGCUUACUAGAGCAUGGGAAGAAGCAAUAUUCCAGUUACAAUACCAUGCCACUAAGGAAAUACAGGCACAGGGAUUCACGUGGUUUCACAUGCAAGGCACAGGGAUAGGCUACAGAUGGGAAUCGGCAGCCCGGCACUAUUACAGUUAUCUUAUUGAGCUCUAACAUCCUUUGAAAAGAACAUUAUUCUUGUGCAAGAGGAAAAAAUGUUACUUAUUUGGAGGUGUAAACACGGUAACUGAAGCCAAAAGCCUGUAAAGAGGCUUGGAUGUGAAUUCAUUAUGAAUACGCUCUGAUGAAAUGAGAUUUACUGGCUCUUCUUUACAUAAGGAAGUAGAAUGAAAUCUGGAAAUAAAAACAGAUGGAGAUCAGCACAUCCCAGCCAUAAUGCAAACAGGAGUACUACUAAGCACUAGCUACAGGUGAAGCAACAAAUGUAUUUAUCCUGAAGAAUUAGAGUAUGUGAAAACACCUGCUGCUUUCCAGGAAGAUAAAAGCCAAGAGAAGAUAAUUCCUCCCAGGCCACAAAACGAAGCGAAAUUACAUAGAAGUCAGCUAAAAAAUACACCUCCAUCAUGGCUACAGCAGAGUGAUCUUGAUCAUGUUUUGAGGACCACGUUGUAUAUCAGCCAGAAGAAAGCAAGGACAUCCCUGCAGCAGGAGCAUCCAAAGGAGGGUUUGGAAUACAGAUGGAAGGUGAAGUUUUGCAGGUUGAAUGGGAGAUUUAGGGAGCAAGGAGGACUUUACCAGGUCAUGCUUGCUACAGCCUUUCUAGCAUGUAAACGUGGACCUUCCUCUUUCAAGUGUCUCAUCUCAGCGUGGGGGAGGCAAUAUGUCUCGCUCCCUCCCCUCUCCCAGGCAAGAGCUCAAACCCUGAAAAUUUGCAUCAGAGACCACUGCUGGAAAACACACAACAGACUGGAGAAGGCAUGGGUGCCAUUUAUUUUCCUUUAUGUAGGGAAAAAAAAAAGCUGCUGUGGAGAACAGGGUCCUAUUACUCAGUACUCUGCAUGGUGUUUGACUUGAUUUAAGUGGCAGAAACCUUAAUUAGGGCUCUAAACAGGCUUCCUAAUAGUGCAGUUCAAACUACCGGGGAAGGAACAUUUGUCUGGUCAAAGCAAACAGAAUUUGAUUAGUUUCUGUGAGGGACCCAGGGAGUGAAACAGGAAUGUCAGAGAGGAGACACGAAGUCCAGCAGGACACAGCUGGAUUAUUCCUCUCAUACCCUUUACAUCUUUUAAAACAUCUGUCCGGACUGCAGCGAGCCUUGUAGCCUACAGAUGCAAGUGAUAAACUGCAAGUGAAGUCUGUGGAAGAAAUGGAAAUUGCAAGCUAGAUUCUCCCUGGGACCCAAGUCUGCACCAGAGCAAACCCUUCAGCUUAAAAGCAUUAUUUCAGACUCACGAAGCUGUAAAAGAACUGGGGAGAAGAUCUUAGAAGCAAAAUUAUCCUGGAUCAUCAUAGAAUAAUUUAGGUUGGAAAGACCUUUAAGAUCAUCAGGUCCAACCACUAACCCACGUCCCCAAGUCCCCACCUCCAGGGAUGGUGAUUCCUCCGCUACCCUGGGCAGCCUGUUCCAGUGCUUGACCACCCACGGUCAUCUACGGAGGCAAAAAACAUGCAACGUCAGAGCUGCCCGGUUCCAAACAUCUGUUUGGAAAGGCUUUUUGGACACAUGCAUUUUAUAUAUGGCCUUUAAAGCUUUAGCACUGACUAUGCACAAUAACACAUCCCAGAGCAUCUGUUGUUCCCCCAGCCCUGCAGCAAGCCAUGCGGGGAAGCAAGCAGAGGGAUAACACUGCCUGGCUGCACAGCUGGGAAGAGUAGCACAUGGGUAGCAGAAGGCCACCAACUGAUACGAAUCCAACUACGUGGCGUGGAGAUGAAGCUGACGUGAAAAACAGCUUUUAUGAAGAAAUUGUGUACUUGAACCAUCAUUUAUAGGUUGCCUUUGAUUUAUUUUGAUUGUGGCGGAUACCGGAGCGGUGCAUGGAGGAGCAGCAGCUGUGGGACAUGGAUGGGACAUGCAAGGGACACACGUGGACAAGUCAUUGGCUUGUCUGGGCAGGGGGUGUUCCCUGAGCAGCUGACCCCAGAGCUGCUGAUGGGCUGAGGCAGCGAGGGGCAGAGCCUGCAUGGCAGCGUGGGAGGUUUAAGCAGCUGAAAACCAUCAGCCCAGCUGGUGGCAAUGGACCAGCCCCUGUACCUCCCAGCAGGCAGCAUGGUACCACCCUUCCAAAAGCAGUGUCCUCUGCUGCUCCUGAGCUCCUCGCACCCGGUACGGCCGGCGCAGCUCCAGGCAGAGCUCCUGCUCGAGCGUGUGGCCGCCCAGGAUUCCGGCUGCGGGAUGCGCGGAGGCAUAUUGAUAUCUGGCUCCGGGACUGGUGCCUGCACCAGAACUUUGGGGCUUUAAAGCAUGGAAGAGCCUUAGAGGCGCAAGGUAUGCCGGGGCCUGGUGGGAUGGGGAGAGCAUGUCUUUGGGUGUAAGCUGGCGGGACUGAUUGAGAAAGCUUUAAUUACUAAUCAGUGUGGGAAGGGGACGCCAGCAGGACUGCAGUAGGUAAGCCAGGGGUUGGUGUGGCGUUGCCCGAGGCUGGUGGUGAUAGUGGGGAUGUUUAUGCUGCUCCUGGGAGCAUGGGGGGCUCAGGGGUGUCUCUGAAAUGCUUGUAUGCCAGCGCAUGCAGUAUGAGAGAAAAACAGGAUGAACUGGAAGCACUGGUCAGCUCCCAGAGCUUAGGGUGUUGUUGGUAUUAGUGGUAUUGCUGGAAGGAGUCCCACGACUGGAGUGGUGGGAUGGAGGGCUCCAGGCUGUCCAGGAGGGAUGGGGAGGCAGAGCUGUAAUGCCAGGCACCAGUAUAAACUGGGAGAGGGUCGGCUGGCCAGCAGCCCUGCGGGAAGGGCUCUGGGGGUGCUGGCUGGCAGCAGCUCAGCAGCAGCCAGCAGUGAGCCCUGGCAGCCGGGAGCACAAACCGCAGCCUGGGGUGCGGCGAGCCCAGCACCACCAGCCCGGCAGCGAGGGGCUGAUCCUGCCGCCUCCCGCGCUGUGCAGCCUCACCCGGAGCACCGGGUGCAGGGCUGGGCCCCACCGCUUCACAGGGACGUGCGGGUCCACGAGCGCUUCCAGAGGAGGGCACCAGGGCUGGGGCAGGGCUGGAAGGCACGUCCUGGGGAGCGGCUGCGCUUUGGGCUUGUCCGGUUUGGAGAAGAGGAGGCUGAGGGGUGACCUGGUCACCCUCUGCACCCUCCUGGGGGGGGACGUGGAGAGGCGGGCGCUGAGCUCCUGUCCCCAGGGUCCCGUGCCAGGACACGCGGGAGCGGCCCAGAGCUGCACCAGGGAGGUGCAGGCUGGAUGUAGGGAGCAUUUCUUCAUGGAGGGUGGUCAGACACUGCAGCAGGAUCCUGGGGAGGCGAGCGAUGCCCUGGGCCGGUCCGCGCUCACGAGGCACUUGGGCAGUGCCCUUAAUAACGUGCUUGGAGCUUUGGGUUAAGUAGCUGGACUAGAUGAUGGUUGUACAUCCCCUGCAGCAGAACUGUUCUAGUCUGGGUUUAUUUCUUUGGGUGAAGGCACUGCAGCCCUGACAGAGGAAAUCUUAUUGAAACAAGCACUUGUCACAUGGGGGUGACAGCUGGGGGGAAUGCAGGUUAAAUUGGUGGUCUUCUCUGGUAGAAGUAGUGGCAACUCUUGCCUCUGUGGCUUGUGUAAGCUAGAGGCCUCUUCAUAAAUGCGCAGCUCCGCAUCUUUCUCAGUCUUAAAAUAAAGAUUUGCACUUGGUGGUUCAGUUCUUUCUCUCUUUCCCAAAGUUUUUUGUAUGAUCUUGGUCUGGAAAGGGAAAAAUGAACAAAAUGGUGUAUCUGAUUUUCUGUCUCCAAGCACCUAGAUACCAAUGCAAACAGGGCUGUUUAUUUUACAAGUGCCUGUACACAUAAUAUUAAAAUCAAAUAUUGGUUUUGCAGUAGAGACUCAUCAUGGGAUAGUUUUGGGGUUUUUUUUACUUGAUAAAUAGCUGGGUUUGUGUGGGGAUUCGUAUCAGGCUCCAUACAAACAAAACUGAAGUAAAUAUUUGCCCAUCUGUGGUGGGAUGACCCUGGCUGGACCCUAGGUGCCCACCAAGGCUGCUCCAUCACUCUCCUCCUCAGCCGGGCACGGGGGAGGAAAUAUAAUGAAGAUCUCAUGGGUCGAGAUCAGGACAGGGAGGUCACUCCUUAAUUACUGUCACAGGCAAAACAGACUCGACUUGGGGAAAUUAGUUUAAUUUAUCCUACUCUGAUUUGAAUGAUAAUAAUGAGAACUAUAAAUCAAAACUUAAAAAUGCCUUCCCCCUAAUCCCUCCCUUCUUGCUGGGCUCAACUUCACACCCCAUUUCUCUCCUUUCUACCCUGGCGCAGCACGGAGGACUGGGAUGGGGCACGAUCAAUCCAUCACACUCUGCCUCUGCUGCUCCUUCAUCCUCACACUCUGCCCCUGUCCCCGAGCGGGGUCCCUCCCACAAGAGACAGCUCUCCAUGAACCUCUCCAUCGCGAGCCCUUCCCACGGGCUGCAGCUCUUCACGCACCAGCCCUGGGGGGUCCCUCCCAGGAGGUGCAGAGCCCCAGGCACAGCUGGUCCCAGGGGUCCCCCUGGGGGCACAAGUCCUGCCAGGGGCUGCCCAGGGGUCACAGCCCCUUUGGGCAUCCCCCUUCCCCAGUGUGGGGUUCUGCCUGGGCUGCAGGAGGGGGGAUCUUCUCCCCCGUGGGCUCCAUGGGCUGGGGGCACAGCCUGCCUCGCCAGGGUCUUCAUCACGGGCUGCUGGGGCACCUCUGCUCCGUGCCUGGAGCCCCCCCACCUCCUCCUGCCCUGACCUGGGGGGCUGCUUUGGUGCAGUGUCUCUCUUCUCUUCUGCUGUAACUUGCUGCACAGGUUUUUUGCCCCCUUCUUAAAUCAAUCAUCCCAGCAGUUCUCCCACCAUCGCCGAUGGGCUCAGCCUUGGCUGGUGGUGGGUCUGUCUGGGAGCCGGCUGGCGUGGGCUCCAUCGGGCAUGGGGGGAGCUUCUGGCACCUUCUCACAGCAGCUCCCCCCCAUAGCCCCCCUGCUACCAAACCUUGCCAGGCAAACCCGACAUGCCAGCUCAGCUGGGGUUUUGCCUGCGUCUGCAGUGCCUCUUGAAAUGGGAGGAAUUGGGCAACCUGUUGUGGUCUUCUCCUUGGAAGUUCGUAUCCAUGGGAGCACAUGGAUAGCCGCAGUCUGGGACAAGCAGCACAGCGAAUUCCUGCGCUCACCAAUGAACAACCAAGGAACAAAAACGGGAAAUGGGCAAAACUGAAAUCACCAACUCAGCUGCCUAGAAUGGUGUGUUUCCAAAAUGCUCCAGUUCCUCUCUGAGCCAGGGAAAAGAUGCUUUUGCUUUUCUCCUACUAUUGUUUCUUUUUUAAACCGGAAAGAAUAUGCGAGUACCUUGGAGACUUUUCACUCUUCCUGACACUGAGUGACAUACGCUUUUUUGAGUUCUUUGUACAAAAAUUAGCAGCAAAAGGGUUUGGUAAUUGUCUUAAAAUACCAAUUUACUAAAAGGCAUGGACCUUCAUGUCAAUAAAAAAAAAUGGAGCUUAAGAGCCAUUUGGCCUUUCUUUAAGGGUCACUGUAUUCCUUGUUCUAAAUGAAAAACCCAAGUCCCUAGAGGAACCUUAGGUCUGCAAAGAAAUGGGCUGGGAUUUAACUAUGGGAGGUUGCAAACAGAAUCUGUUGCUGCCCUAAAACUGAAUUUUUGCUUCUUGAUUCCUAAAGAUUACAUCCAUUAGGCUUUCUCCUCCCACUCUGCAUCUAUUUUUCUAUACUCGGAUAUAUAAAUACAGUUACUAUUUUAACUGCCUUUUCAAUACAAAUGUUGCCAAUUAGCCAAUGUUUUGCCCGAUGCCUGGAAAACAUAAAAUCAAAAUAUUCAUCCAAAUCCACAUAUGGCCAGAUCCUCAGUUGGUGUCAAUGCUUGCAGCUCUGCUAAUUUUUUUGGAGCUGGGCCACUUUAUGCCUGCUAAGGAUAUAGCUCAGUAGAAUCCAACUGACUGACUCUCCUUGGCUUCUCCAAGAUCUAGAUCUGGACCAUUGUUAUUACAAAUGCUUUAAAAAAUCUGGAGUAUGUUAAGUGUUGGGAUUGCUACUCUGGUAAACAAUCAUGUGUUGGAAUAUUUUUCUACUACCUCAGACCCCAUGAAGCAGAAAAUGGAAAGCCUGUACUCUCUCCUCCUGUUUAUAUUGGGACCAAUAAUGCUAAUUUUCAAAUGUAAUUUAACAUAUGUCUGAAAGUUGCCUGACUGCCCCAGCCAAAAAUUGCAAUUGGCAGCUCCAUUUCCUGGCAUGGCUGAAUUCAGAGCGGACCAUCUCUGCAGAUCAAAAUAUAAAGCAGCAUCACUGGUGAGGCCUGGAAUACAAGUUGUUCCCAGACACAUGCCCAAGACAUUGAUGUUUAAUGACAGCAUCGUUCAGGGCAGUGUGAAAGGAGGAAAUUCUGCCGCAUACUCGGUAGGAAAUGAGAAAUCACCCUCAAGUGUGUGACAUUGCAGGGCUGAAUAAAAAUGGGAGUUUAACAGAAGAUUAAAUCUGCAGAAGCUAAGAUUUAAAUCCAUCAAACUUUACAACACCUGGUCAAUUCAGAUGCUGUGUAUCUUUCCUUUAAAAGAAUACUCUCAAGGCACCAUGAUUUGGAUAGAGGUUGUUACUGGACCAUGAGGUGGAAGUAUUCCUGCCUGGCUUCAAGCAUAGGUUUUGCAAUUGUAGGAAUAAAUGGAGUUGAACACUAGCUGAACUCACCAAAGGGCAUUUUAAAACCAAGAAAGGAGUGAAAAUGAAACAUUAAACAAACAGAAGGACGAAUAGUGAUAAUGCCAAUGAAGCAGGAACAGC